rnacentral:lncRNA from 1 species
UAUGUCUUUCUUUUCUCUUUCUUUCUUCCUCUUCCUUCCUUCCUUCCUUCCCUCCUUCUUUUCUCUCUUUCUUUUCAAAUCAACCUCUGUUCCAACACAGCAUUUGGAAUAUCCUGGGAACUUUAGUCUCUCAAUAACCCCCGGCCCCAAAGAGCAACUGGCAACAUGUCAAACGAUCCACCCACCGUGUUGUCAUCGCCACCGCCAUAACAUCAUCAAGAAGUCACUGCCUGAAGUUCCCACUGUGGCACAAUGGGAUCAGCGGUGUCUUGAGAGCACUCAAGACGCAGGUUCAAUCCCCAGCCCAGCACAGUGUGUUAAGGAUCCAGAGUUGCUGUGGCUUAGGUCACAACGACGGCUUGGUUCUGAUCCCUGACCUGGGAACUCCAUAUGCCACAUGGAAGCCAAAAAAAAAAAAAAAAAAAAAAAGUCUCUGCCUAAUUACAUCAAUCAGCUGGAAGUCCAAUGUGCAUUGAUACUGGAAAAGCAGGGCUAGAGACCACUGCCAGAACUCUUUGGUAUUCCUGGCCUUCUCAUUGCUUGUUCCUCCCUGCCUCUGUCUUUAAUCAUGCCUCAGUGUCUUUUUUUAGUCCAAAAUUGAUGGUUUUUCCCAUUCCCCUCUCUCUCCAGUCCCCUCUCCUCCCUUAUUGCAGGCUCCACACCCCUUCCUUGUCUUGCACCCAGCUGCCAUCUGCAUCAAUUCCUCCCCUGCUGCACUCAGCUCCAGAGAUACAUUGACCCUUCUUUCCCUCUCAAACAAAGGCACCUCCUAGUCUUGGCCCUGGACAUGGGUCUGGUCCGUGCACUGCUCUGGGGGUGGCGGAGUCGGGCCCUCCUGCAGACUGUCAUAGAUGCAGGUGAGCUCCUCCAACUUCCUCUCCAGUUUCUGGGCACGCUGCCUCAGCGCUUCAGCCAACUGUGUCUUUGCCCCUUUGUGCAAGUGGAUUGACUCCUUCACCAGGAAGCCCACGUCCACCAGAAGGCCGACACCUGCAGUGGCUAUUCCCAUGAUCCGGGCGUUUUUGGUCAUUGCCAGAGCACUGCCUCUGAAAGCUGCCUUCCUCUGUGUGCUGCUUAAGGCUUCGAUUCCCUCAUCGGUCCAUAAGAGAUUUGAGUGAGCUUCUAAGCAAGGGUUGACUUUGACCCGCUCCAUGGCUCUAAUGUUGGUUUCAACGCGUUCUAUGGCUUUUGCAAGUACCCGUGCAUUGUCAACAAUUUUGGGGGUGUUCUUAACUAGAACCUGCACGACCACGUGCCAUUUUUUGAUAUCAGUUGACAGAAGGCAACUGGCUUCAGUUUCUCUUAAUGAAAGACUGAUCUUGUCCACAAUGUCGGUGGACACACUGGUCACAGAAGCCGCUAUUCUCAGCCCCAACCCAGUGGCAGAGAGUGCUAGGCUGACCCCUGCAGUCACAGGUGCCAGAGACAGACCGACGAUGGUCAGGACGCUGGACACAGCGUCAGCGGAGGUGGCCACCACUUUGGAGAUGGUGCAGUCUCUGUGUACUUUGUCAGCCUUGUCCGCAAGCGCAUGCAGCUUUCCUAUACGCUCCUCGAGCUCCAGUUUUAUGUGAGGAAACCUCGUCAAAAACCUCUUUCUAUCCAGCUGCUCUUUAUUCUUCAUGCUCAAGUCUGUUUCCAGCUCCUCCAGAUACUCACACAGUGCAUCUGCCUCUUCCCUGUAACAGUGAAGGUCAAGGCGUGAGAAAGACAGUGUGCGGGUUCAUAAAACGGGUUUGACAAAUCACAGGGAUUUUGUUAUAAAUCAAAAUAAAAAGAAUUUUACAGAAGGAAAUUUUUUUCCUUCAACAUUAAAUACAUGUUUUGUAACUUGUAGAUGCUCCAUAGACGUAUUCAAUCAUGGAAUAAAUAAGCAAAAGUCACCUCCACUUAACCUAAGGUAGGUAUCUGAUAGAUGCCUCAGAACCAGGUCAACACCAUCGCCUCCAAAGAGUGUGUGGGGGGUGAACUCCACAGAUAAUCAAAGAACAGUGGGACUGGAGCAGAAAUCCCUCAGUCAGAGGAACUUGGUGGGGGUGAGGCGUUAACCUGCUCGCUGCCCUUGGCUACUGGUAGUGACCCCUGAGCCCCUGGAAUGUUCUGGAUGAGAGGAGUGUUCUUGUCCACCUGGGCCCUUGGCCACUGGGCAGCCCCACAAGGCGAUAGGGCCUCUGGGUCACGGGGAAUAAUUGCUGGAGGAGCUGGACCCUGGGACAGUAGCCUGAGCCCCGGGAGGGGCUGGAGACAGCAGGUCAGCCGUGCGGGCAGCAUGUGAUGGAGCCCCAGCAAAACUCCGGACACCGAGGCUCUGGUGGAAAAGACUCUCCCCUUGACCAAACUUGAGGCAGGCUCUUCUGAGCCCCCUUCUCGCCGACCCUUGACCUCACACCCGUGUCCUUGAUGGCCCCCAUCGCCCGCGUUCAGCCAGAACUCUUGCAGGUCACUCUAGGGAGAACGUCCCACCGGCACUCUUGACAUCAGAUCACCUUUGAGGCAUAGGUCCUUGACCUCCUUUUAGCAAGAGCCCUCCUGGGAAAGUUUAACAGGGGUCCCUACCCUUGACGCCCCCCCCCAGGAACCUUCCAUCCACCCCGGCAGCCCCUGCUCCUUGGCGACGAGUCCCCGUUGUCUCUGACGCAUUUGACUUUGAGCCCAGUCUCUCCUCCACGGCGAUGGUCUUUGCACCUCUCACGAUGGGCCUCAGUAACGUCUUCCUUAUCAUUUUAACAAGGGUCGGAAGCAUUUGUUUUUUAAACAAGGGGAGCAUCCCUGCCGGGCAGGGCUCCGUGGGCCCUGUCCCCCUGGAACACAGGACAGCUGUGCGUCCUGAGGACAACGGGAGCUGCCCAUUCGAAACCCUCCCAGCCUCUGCCCUGUGGCUGAUGGUCACCCACAUCCUGCCCUGGCAGACACCCUAACGGGGGUCACCACAGCUUCAGUGAGUUCUGCGCCUCCCUCUAGGGAGCUCUCGCACCUGAGAGGGUUUGGGGAAGCCCCCACAUUUGCCAUUGGUGUCAAAGGUAAGGAGAGUCCCGAGGACUGUGUCUCGGGUGGCAGACUGGUGACUGCUGCUUACUCGGAAUUCUUCUAAAACAAUAAAAACUCAGAGCUGGCAGAGGCCUUAAUGAUCGGUUUGCCCAGCAGCUGCUGUCUUCCAAGCCGCGUGCCCUUGGCCUUCCCCGCUGAAGGUCACGGGUCCAUCCACUGUCCCCGCUGACUGGGAAGCAGGAGAUGUGCUAUUACCCUGGCGCCCCUCGGGCCCACCUCACUGACUCCUGACCCAGCACCCCGACGUCUCAGGGGUCACCAGCCUAACCCAUACCUUAGCUGGUGACAGCUUCACCUGCCUGCACACCAAGGCCGUGGCGAGUUUAUGGAACCUCUGAAAGAGUCAAGAGACUUUGGGAAUCAUCCCUAAGAACUGCUCGGCCUGAGGAAGAGUUUCCUCGUUGGUGGGAACUCGUGAGUCUGCUCAGAAGCUCUCAAAUUAUACAGAACUGGCAGCCACUCGUUGUAAUGUUGGAGUUGUCCCCAGGCCACACUGCCUUCCCACCGGUCAGGGCUACCCUGCGUAGAACAGAAGAGGGGCCCAGGUGGCAGGGAGAACCCCCAGCUCCCAGGCAGGGUGUGGAGGACACGGUCACCCAAGGCCCUGGAUGCCCGGCAGGAGAGGACCAGGUCAGGGAGGGAAGAAAUGUCCCCUCACCCACUCAGGGGAUCUCUGCCAGGUGAGCAGCCCCUGCAGUUCGGUGUCCGGGGGUCCACUCGCCUCACUCCAGCUCUGGCCCUGUUGCCCAAGCCUUCCUACUCCUCCUCCACCUCAGACCCCUCUGCUCCAUCCUGACCCCCAGAUCUGACCAUGGUCCAGGUGUCCUGGGCCUUUGGAUGAGAUGAUUGCACAUGGCUACCCACCUCUGACCCUGCAGUUCACUCGAAGGCCAUUGCCACCAUCCACCGGUUUUUGGUUUUUGUUUUUUUGUCUUUUUAGGGCUGCACCUGUGGCACAUGGAGGUUCCCAGACUAGGGGUCCAAUUGGAGCUGUAGCCACUGGCCUACACCACAGCUCACAGUAACGCUGGAUCCUUAACCUACUGAGAGAGGCCUGGGAUCGAACCAGUCUCAUGGAUGAGACUUGGGUUUGUUAACCACUGAGCCACGACGGGAACUCCCACCAUGCAUCAGAUUGAGUUGCUAUCCCCAUUGUUCAGAUGACAAAGCUGAGACUCGAGACAGAAAACCAGGGUUCCAGAGCUGGGCCAAGGUAGAACCAGCUACCAGCUCAGCCCAAUCCAAUUCCCCUCCAGCCUCCCUGCCUGUUGGGGCAGCAGGAUGCUGCACUGUUUGUACAAUUCUUAAGACGAGGAGAAAAGGGCUCUAGCCAGAAUCCCAGGAACACAAACUCAUGACAUCAGGUUUUCUGACUUGUGCCACUGGAAGUCCUGCUUGAUUCUAAGAUCAAGGCCCUUGGCCCCUGUCUCUUUUUUUCUUUUCUUUUUUCUUUUUCUUGUCUUUUCUAGGGCCAUAUCCACAGCAUAUGGAGGUUCCCAGGCUAGGGGUCGAAUUGGAACUUACAGUGAGGGGGUGGGGGGAGAAGCAGUCCUGAGAAAAAAGGACUUAAGAUAAGGCAGUUAAAAAAAAAAAAAAAGGAGUUCCUGUCGGGGUGCAGUGGUUAACGAAUCCGACUAGGAACCAUGAGGUUGCGGGUUCGGUCCCUGCCCUUGCUCAGUGGGUUAAGCAUCCGGCAUUGCUGUGAGCUGUGGUGUAGGUCGCAGAUGCAGCUCGGAUCCUGCGGAGCUACAGCUCCGAUUCAACCCCUAACCUGGGAACCUCCAUAGGCCACGAUUGUGGCCCU